GAGUUUGAUCCUGGCUCAGAUUGAACGCUGGCGGCAGGCCUAACACAUGCAAGUCGAGCGGCAGCGGGAAGAUAGCUUGCUAUCUUCGCCGACGAGCGGCGGACGGGUGAGUAAUACCUGGGGAUCUGCCCAAUCGAGGGGGAUAACAGUUGGAAACGACUGCUAAUACCGCAUACGCCCUACGGGGGAAAGGAGGGGACCUUCGGGCCUUCCGCGAUUGGAUGAACCCAGGCGGGAUUAGCUAGUAGGUGAGGUAAUGGCUCACCUAGGCGACGAUCCCUAGCUGUUCUGAGAGGAUGGACAGCCACACUGGAACUGAGACACGGUCCAGACUCCUACGGGAGGCAGCAGUGGGGAAUAUUGGACAAUGGGGGAAACCCUGAUCCAGCCAUGCCGCGUGUGUGAAGAAGGCCUUCGGGUUGUAAAGCACUUUCAGUGGGGAGGAAAGGUUGAUGGUUAAUACCUAUCAGCUGUGACGUUACCCACAGAAGAAGCACCGGCUAACUCCGUGCCAGCAGCCGCGGUAAUACGGAGGGUGCAAGCGUUAAUCGGAAUUACUGGGCGUAAAGCGUGCGCAGGCGGUCUGUUAAGCGAGAUGUGAAAGCCCCGGGCUCAACCUGGGAACUGCAUUUCGAACUGGCAGACUAGAGUCUUGUAGAGGGGGGUAGAAUUCCAGGUGUAGCGGUGAAAUGCGUAGAGAUCUGGGAGGAAUACCGGUGGC
rnacentral:rRNA from 1 species